AGAGUUUGAUCAUGGCUCAGAUUGAACGCUGGCGGCAGGCCUAACACAUGCAAGUCGAACGGUAACAGGAAGCAGCUUGCUGCUUCGCUGACGAGUGGCGGACGGGUGAGUAAUGUCUGGGAAACUGCCUGAUGGAGGGGGAUAACUACUGGAAACGGUGGCUAAUACCGCAUAACGUCGCAAGACCAAAGAGGGGGACCUUCGGGCCUCUUGCCAUCAGAUGUGCCCAGAUGGGAUUAGCUUGUUGGUGAGGUAACGGCUCACCAAGGCGACGAUCCCUAGCUGGUCUGAGAGGAUGACCAGCCACACUGGAACUGAGACACGGUCCAGACUCCUACGGGAGGCAGCAGUGGGGAAUAUUGCACAAUGGGCGCAAGCCUGAUGCAGCCAUGCCGCGUGUAUGAAGAAGGCCUUCGGGUUGUAAAGUACUUUCAGCGGGGAGGAAGGUGUUGCGGUUAAUAACCGCAGCAAUUGACGUUACCCGCAGAAGAAGCACCGGCUAACUCCGUGCCAGCAGCCGCGGUAAUACGGAGGGUGCAAGCGUUAAUCGGAAUUACUGGGCGUAAAGCGCACGCAGGCGGUCUGUCAAGUCGGAUGUGAAAUCCCCGGGCUCAACCUGGGAACUGCAUUCGAAACUGGCAGGCUUGAGUCUUGUAGAGGGGGGUAGAAUUCCAGGUGUAGCGGUGAAAUGCGUAGAGAUCUGGAGGAAUACCGGUGGCGAAGGCGGCCCCCUGGACAAAGACUGACGCUCAGGUGCGAAAGCGUGGGGAGCAAACAGGAUUAGAUACCCUGGUAGUCCACGCCGUAAACGAUGUCUACUUGGAGGUUGUGCCCUUGAGGCGUGGCUUCCGGAGCUAACGCGUUAAGUAGACCGCCUGGGGAGUACGGCCGCAAGGUUAAAACUCAAAUGAAUUGACGGGGGCCCGCACAAGCGGUGGAGCAUGUGGUUUAAUUCGAUGCAACGCGAAGAACCUUACCUGGUCUUGACAUCCACAGAACUUUCCAGAGAUGGACUGGUGCCUUCGGGAACUGUGAGACAGGUGCUGCAUGGCUGUCGUCAGCUCGUGUUGUGAAAUGUUGGGUUAAGUCCCGCAACGAGCGCAACCCUUAUCCUUUGUUGCCAGCGGUUAGGCCGGGAACUCAAAGGAGACUGCCAGUGAUAAACUGGAGGAAGGUGGGGAUGACGUCAAGUCAUCAUGGCCCUUACGACCAGGGCUACACACGUGCUACAAUGGCGCAUACAAAGAGAAGCGACCUCGCGAGAGCAAGCGGACCUCAUAAAGUGCGUCGUAGUCCGGAUUGGAGUCUGCAACUCGACUCCAUGAAGUCGGAAUCGCUAGUAAUCGUGGAUCAGAAUGCCACGGUGAAUACGUUCCCGGGCCUUGUACACACCGCCCGUCACACCAUGGGAGUGGGUUGCAAAAGAAGUAGGUAGCUUAACCUUCGGGAGGGCGCUUACCACUUUGUGAUUCAUGACUGGGGUGAAGUCGUAACAAGGUAACCGUAGGGGAACCUGCGGUUG
rnacentral:rRNA from 2 species